rnacentral:rRNA from 1 species
UACAGAGGGUGCGAGCGUUGUUCGGAAUUAUUGGGCGUAAAGGGCGCGUAGGCGGUGCGGUAAGUCACCUGUGAAAUCUCCUGGCUCAACUGGGAGCUUGCAGGCGAAACUGCCGUGCUGGAGUGUGGGAGAGGUGCGUGGAAUUCCUGGUGUAGCGGUGAAAUGCGCAGAUAUCAGGAGGAACACCAAUGGCGAAGGCAGCUCGCUGGGACGUGACUGACGCUGAGGCACGAAAGCGUGGGGAGCAAACAGG